rnacentral:rRNA from 1 species
UACGUAGGGUGCAAGCGUUGUCCGGAAUUAUUGGGCGUAAAGAGCUCGUAGGCGGUUUGUCACGUCUGCUGUGAAAAUCCAAGGCUCAACCUUGGACUUGCAGUGGGUACGGGCAGGCUAGAGUGCGGUAGGGGAGAUGGGAAUUCCUGGUGUAGCGGUGGAAUGCGCAGAUAUCAGGAGGAACACCAAUGGCGAAGGCACAUCUCUGGGCCGUAACUGACGCUGAGGAGCGAAAGCGUGGGGAGCGAACAGGAUUAGAUACCCUGGUAGUCCACGCCGUAAACGGUGGGUGCUAGCUGUGGGCCACAUUCCACGUGGUCCGUGACGAAGUUAACACAUUAAGCACCCCGCCUGGGGAGUACGGCCGCAAGGCUAAAACUCAAAGGAAUUGACGGGGGCCCGCACAAGCGGCGGAGCAUGCGGACUAAUUCGAUGCAACGCGAAGAACCUUACCAAGGCUUGACAUAUAGAGGAAAAGUGCAGAAAUGCACUCCCCGCAAGGUCUCUAUACAGGUGGUGCAUGGUUGUCGUCAGCUCGUGUCGUGAGAUGUUGGGUUAAGUCCCGCAACGAGCGCAACCCUCGUCCUAUGUUGCCAGCACGUAAUGGUGGGAACUCAUGGGAUACUGCCGGGGUCAACUCGGAGGAAGGUGGGGAUGACGUCAAAUCAUCAUGCCCCUUAUGUCUUGGGCUUCACGCAUGCUACAAUGGCCGGUACAGAGGGCUGCAAUACCGCAAGGUGGAGCGAAUCCCAAAAAGCCGGUCUCAGUUCGGAUUGAGGUCUGCAACUCGACCUCAUGAAGUCGGAGUCGCUAGUAAUCGUAGAUCAGCAACGCUACGGUGAAUACGUUCCCGGGCCU